rnacentral:rRNA from 1 species
GACGUAGGGGGCCAGCGUUGUUCGGAAUUACUGGGUGUAAAGGGUUCGUAGGCGGGUCUUUAAGUCAGGGGUGAAAUCCUGGAGCUCAACUCCAGAACUGCCUUUGAUACUGAGGAUCUUGAGUACGGGAGAGGUGAGUGGAACUGCGAGUGUAGAGGUGAAAUUCGUAGAUAUUCGCAAGAACACCAGUGGCGAAGGCGGCUCACUGGCCCGUAACUGACGCUGAGGCACGAAAGCGUGGGGAGCAAACAGG